UUUUGUGGCAGUGUGGCCUCCACUUCAAUGUCCGUGUCAUCUCUCUCUUGGAUUUCUGUGUUUGUCUAGUUGACAAAUGUGUCUGCUGCUUUUUUUACAGAUUCAAAAUCUCUUCCCAAGCUUUUCAACGUAUCUUGUGUUGAUGCCACCAUUCUGUGAGCAGAGAGGAUGUCCAAUCCUGCCGUCUGAAGGUAUUUAGACAAUGGAGAGGUAUGUUCAAAUAUGCGGAGGAAGAUUUCAGCCGUCAAGAUUGUCUCAUACUUGAACAAUGACUCUGCAUAUCCUCUGGCCAUGACACGGAUAGAUGGUUUCACUGUUGCCUGUUUCUGUAUAGCUGAUAAUGUCAACAGCACAUCAACGUACAGACCAUCUUCCGGCUUUCUGAAGGAGCCAAACACCUUCUUCAGGGCCUCAUGCUUGGCCCACCAGCGUGUCUCGCCAAUAGGAGCAAGGCGUCUACCUCUUUUUUUUCUUCCCAAACAUUCAUCCUUUGAUGAGACUCUUUGAUGAAUACCGCAAUGCCAUUGAGGAGCGCAAACAGGGACCCACUCUCAAUAACAAUCUGGGUUGUGUUUGCAAGCACCAGAUUCAGAACAUGUGCGUAGCACCAUACAUGCACCUGGUUUGGCGAUUGUACAGACAACAGUGAGGAGAAUCCUUUGUAUUGGCCUUGCAUGUUUAAUGCCCCAUCAGUUGCAUUUCCAAUGCACAUGGUCUUGCUGAGGCCCAUUUUGUCCAGAACUUCUGACAGCAUGUCGACAAAGGCCUGUCCAGUAGUUGAACUGCACUUCAGCACUGCAACAAGCCUCUCAUGAACAACAUCAGUAACAUACCUCAUAAUUAUAGAGCAUUGAUCCAGAGAGGUGAUGUCCUGCGUUGUGUCCAGUUGAACUGAAAACAUUCCUGCUUUCUUGAUAUCACUGGAGAUGUUUUCUUGAAUCAGAUGGUGAAUUGCAUCUAUCACUGAGUUGACUGUUGUUUUGGAGAGUAAAGUUACAAGGGAGCCUCUGCCUCUUGUGCCACCAGACAAAUGCAACUUUUUGCUGUUCUCAAUGCAGCUGUCCAGGUGCUCUUUUAAACAGAAAUCACACUUCCCCAGUAGAAGUACGAGUUCCAAGAAAUUACCAUGAUCAACCGUGUGGUCUUCCAGGGUAUAUGCUGCCUCAUUUUCUGACCUCCUGUAUGCAAGCCCCCUCUUCCCAAGAACCUUGAUUACAUCUAUGAUGCGCUCCAAAACCUGCCGUCUCGUUCUGACCUGCUCUCUGUGCGCCAACAUCUGACUGCCACCAAACAAACUGCUGAUAUCAGCACUGGCAGAUUUCAAGAGGUAAGCUUCAGCACAGUUCCUGUGUGGACUGCCUCUCUCAUGCUUUUCUGUGCGCUGGUGUAUAUGCCUCAAUCUGACAUUCCACUGAUGAACAGACUGCUAUCAGUUCUCUUACUGAAUGCCAUGCAGAUGAAACGAUACAGCAUGUGACGCUCUGGACAGUACGUCAGCCACUUUCUACUGGUGCCGUCUCUGCUACAGAACACUUUCUGCACCACUGGAUUGCUACUUUUUUGCUGAGGGUGGAAAUUUAAAAAAAAAUCAGUUAUUUGACUGGCAGACUCAUGGCUCUCUACAGAUGUUUCCCUCUCAGGUGAUCCUGUCUUUGGGCUGCCUGCACUGGUCUGGCUCUCUCCCUGAACCUGUCUGGUCUGGACAUUGGGAAAGCAUUUAUCAUUGGAUGGGGAAAUAACUCAAAACCACAGAAUAAUGUACAAGAUAAAAGAUUACUUCAUAUUGAACUAAAUGUUCAUGAGCAUAAAAAACACUAAUCAUGGUCACGGAUCAUGGACACAGCAAUUGAAGCCAUUCAUAGGCGCUUUUUGACACACAGCAAUCUAUAUGCUGACUUGGCAUGUCUGGAUCCCAGAAACUUCCCUCAGCUCUCCACCAGUGCUCUUCCCCAGUCUGCCCUUCAAGACUUAAGCAAGUGCUUGCAAGGAUCUGACAGCAGGGCAACCAAGGAAAAUAUGCAGGCUGAGUUGAAAAGCUUUGCACUCCAGUGGACCAGGCUGAAGGCAUCCCCAUUGGCAGAGUACAAGGCAAGAACAGUAGAAGAUGGAUCAGGUGGUGAGGAGGACAACACAGAAGAGGUUGAGGCGAUAAGGCGAGGUUGUUCUGAUAUAUUUGAGGAGUCGUUCACCCUCUGUUCUAUAUGUGGACUCAUUUGGGACCACUGUUAGAAUUUGGUUGACCACUUGAAAUGUGAGAGUUUGAGGAGUUGUUCCCCCAUCGUCCAUGUUCGAGGACUUGCUCUCUCUCUGCUUUCAUUGCACCAAAGUUUGGCUGUUGAGUCUCCUCUAGUUGACCACUUGACUUGUGAGAGUUUGAGGAGUUGUUCCCCCUCCGUCCAUUUUCAAGGACUUGCUCUCUUACUGCUUCCGCUUCACCACUUUUUGGCUACUGAGACGUCUUUGAUUUGUUGAGUUCAUUCAUUCAUCAUCUACCGUUUAUCCUGUACAAGCCAAUCACUCUGUCCCCUUUUGAAGACCUGCUUUGUCUCCUCCAUCAUUCAUUGGGCCACUUUUGGGUUCCUGAUCUUAUUUCAUGUGUUCUUCUUUCUAUGAUUCUUGAGAGAGAGAGAGAGAGAGCUUCGUCUUGACUUUGUCAUGAAUUUGAUGAGGAGUGGAGCUGGCUGGCUGCGGACGAGGAAGUAGGGCAAUAUAUACAUGUGCACAUACACAUAAAUGAGAAUGCAUAUUUUUCAGAACUGUAAUUCAUGUCUUAGACUUUUUCACACAGCUAUAGAUACAUUCCCCCCCAAUUCUCUGUUUAUGGUUUCAUAAUGACUGAGUCACUGUUAAAACAAAUGAGUUUCAGCUCUAAUGCUGCUUCUGUCUGUAAUA